GAUGAAGAACGUAGCGAAAUGCGAUAAGUGAUGCGAAUUGCAGAAUUCAGUGAGUCAUCGAAUCUUUGAACGCACAUUGCGCCCUGUGGUAUUCCGCAGGGCAUGCCUGUUCGAGCGUCAUUUCAACCCUCAAGCUCUGCUUGGUGUUGGGCCCUGCCCGCUGCGGCCGGCCCUAAAGACAGUGGCGGUGCCGCCUGGCCCUGAGCGUAGUACAUCUCUCGCUCCAGUGCCCGGUGGUAGCCUGCCAGAACCCCAACUCUCGUGGUUGACCUCGGAUCAGGUAGGGAUACCCGCUGAACUUAAGCAUAUCAAUAAGCGGAGGA
rnacentral:misc_RNA from 1 species